rnacentral:rRNA from 1 species
GCCGACGGUGUCCCAAAUCUGGGCCUUGACGACCUUGCCGUCGACCUAGAGGGAGCGGGUGGCGAACUCGACCCCCCUGAUGGUGGACUUGGACUCGAGGCUGAACUCGUUGCGGGUGAAGCGGGAGGGCAGGUUGGACUUGCCGAUGCCGGUCUUGAAUGA